GACGAACCGUGCGAACGUUGUUCGGAAUCACUGGGCAUAAAGGGCGCGUAGGCGGACGUUAAAGUCAAGGGUGAAAUCCCCCCAGCUUAACUGGGGAACUGCCUUUGAUACUGAAUGUCUCGAGUAAGGUAGGGGCGUGCGGAACUGAUGGUGGAGCGGUGAAAUGUGUUGAUAUCAUCAGGAACUCCGGUGGCGAAAGCGGCACGGCUGGACCUUUACUGACGCGUGAUGCG
rnacentral:rRNA from 1 species